GCGCUUUUGGAGCGGCCGAUGUCUGAUUAGCUAGUUGGUGAGGUAAAGGCUUACCAAGGCGUCGAUCAGUAGCUGGUCUGAGAGGACGACCAGCCACACUGGGACUGAGACACGGCCCAGACUCCUACGGGAGGCAGCAGUGGGGAAUUUUGGACAAUGGGGGAAACCCUGAUCCAGCCAUGCCGCGUGAGUGGAGAAGGCCUUCGGGUUGUAAAGCUCUUUCAGCCGGAACGAAACGGUCACGGCUAAUACCCGUGACAACUGACGGUACCGGAAGAAGAAGCACCGGCUAACUACGUGCCAGCAGCCGCGGUAAUACGUAGGGUGCGAGCGUUAAUCGGAAUUACUGGGCGUAAAGCGUGCGCAGGCGGUUUUGUAAGUCAGAUGUGAAAUCC
rnacentral:rRNA from 1 species